AGAGUUUGAUCCUGGCUCAGGAUGAACGCUAGCGGCAGGCCUAACACAUGCAAGUCGAGGGGCAGCACGAUUUAAGUUUACUUAAAUUGGUGGCGACCGGCGCACGGGUGCGUAACGCGUAUACAAUCUACCUAUAACAGGGGAAUAACACUGAGAAAUUGGUACUAAUACCCCAUAACAAUUCGAGAGGCAUCUCUUGGAUUUGAAAACUCCGGUGGUUAUAGAUGAGCAUGCGUUGUAUUAGAUAGUUGGUGAGGUAACGGCUCACCAAGUCGACGAUACAUAGGGGGACUGAGAGGUUAACCCCCCACACUGGUACUGAGACACGGACCAGACUCCUACGGGAGGCAGCAGUGAGGAAUAUUGGUCAAUGGACGCAAGUCUGAACCAACCAUGCCGCGUGCAGGAUGACNGCUCUAUGANUUGUAAACUGCUUUUGUAUGAAGGGUAAACCUANAUCNUGUAUCUAGCUGAAAGUAUCAUACCAAUAAGGAUCGGGUACUUCCUGCCACCACCCGCGGUAAUACNGANGAUUCAAGCGUUAUNCCGAUUUAUUGGGUUAAANGGUGCGUAGAGUAUCCACUUGGGAGUACGUUGCAAGAAUAAACUCAAAGGAAUGACGGGGCCCGCCAAGCGAAGGAACAUGUGGUUUAAUUGAUGAUACGGAGGACCUUUACCCGGGCUUGAAAGUAGCGCGGACUUGAAAACAGGUCUUCUCUUCGGAGCGCGAAAUUAGGUGCUGCAUGGUUGUCGUCAGCUCGUCCCGUGAGGUGUCGGGUUAAGUCCCAUAACGAGCGCAACCCCUACUGUUAGUUGCCAUCAGGUCAUGCUGGGCACUCUAGCGGGACUGCCGGUGUAAGCCGAGAGGAAGGUGGGGAUGACGUCAAAUCAGCACGGCCCUUACGUCCGGGGCCACACACGUGUUACAAUGGUAGAUACAGAGGGUCGCUACACAGUGAUGUGAUGCAAAUCUCAAAAGUCUAUCUCAGUUCGGAUUGGAGGCUGAAACUCGCCUCCAUGAAGUUGGAUUCGCUAGUAAUCGCGCAUCAGCCAUGGCGCGGUGAAUACGUUCCCGGGCCUUGUACACACCGCCCGUCAAGCCAUGGAAGUUGGGGGUGCCUGAAGUUCGUGACCGCAAGGAGCGACAUAGGGCAAAACCGAUAACUGGGGCUAAGUCGUAACAAGGUAACCAAGGGC
rnacentral:rRNA from 1 species